UGGGGAAUAUUGGACAAUGGGCGAAAGCCUGAUCCAGCAACGCCGCGUGAGGGAUGACGGCCUUCGGGUUGUAAACCUCUUUCAGCAGGGACGAAGCGCAAGUGACGGUACCUGCAGAAGAAGCACCGGCCAACUACGUGCCAGCAGCCGCGGUAAUACGUAGGGUGCGAGCGUUGUCCGGAAUUAUUGGGCGUAAAGGGCUCGUAGGCGGUUUGUCGCGUCAGGAGUGAAAACUCGGGGCUUAACCCCGAGCCUGCUUCUGAUACGGGCAGACUAGAGGUAUGCAGGGGAGAACGGAAUUCCUGGUGUAGCGGUGAAAUGCGCAGAUAUCAGGAGGAACACCGGUGGCGAAGGCGGUUCUCUGGGCAUUACCUGACGCUGAGGAGCGAAAGUGUGGGGAGCGAACAGG
rnacentral:rRNA from 1 species